rnacentral:rRNA from 1 species
AGCAUCGGCUAACUCCGUGCCAGCAGCCGCGGUAAUACGAAGGAUGCAAGUGUUAUCCGGAAUCAUUGGGCGUAAAGGGUCCGCAGGUGGCCAAUCAAGUCGGCUGUUAAAGACCGGGGCUUAACUCCGGGCAGGCAGUGGAAACUGAUUAGCUAGAGUACGGUAGGGGUAGAGGGAAUUCCCAGUGUAGCGGUGAAAUGCGUAGAUAUUGGGAAGAACACCGGUGGCGAAAGCGCUCUACUAGGCCGAAACUGACACUGAGGGACGAAAGCUAGGGUAGCGAAAGGGAUUAGAUACCCCUGUAGUCUUAGCUGUAAACGAUGGAUACUAGGUGUAGCUCGUAUCGACCCCAGCUGUGCCGAAGCUAACGCGAUAAGUAUCCCGCCUGGGGAGUACGCACGCAAGCGUGAAACUCAAAGGAAUUGACGGGGGCCCGCACAAGCGGUGGAGUAUGUGGUUUAAUUCGAUGCAACGCGAAGAACCUUACCAGGGCUUGACAUGUCGCGAAUCUAGCGGAAACGUUAGAGUGCCUUAGGGAAUGCGAACACAGGUGGUGCAUGGCUGUCGUCAGCUCGUGUCGUGAGAUGUUGGGUUAAGUCCCGCAACGAGCGCAACCCUCGUCCUUAGUUGCCAAUAUUAAGUUAGGCACUCUAGGGAUACUGCCGGGGACAACUCGGAGGAAGGUGGGGAUGACGUCAAGUCAGCAUGCCCCUUACGUCCUGGGCGACACACGUACUACAAUGGUUGGGACAAAGGGCAGCAAGCUCGCGAGAGUAAGCGAAUCUCAUCAAACCCAGCCACAGUUCAGAUUGCAGGCUGCAACUCGCCUGCAUGAAGUAGGAAUCGCUAGUAAUCGCAGGUCAGCAUACUGCGGUGAAUUCGUUCCCGGGCCUUGUACACACCGCCCGUCACACCAUGGAAGCUGGCUACGCCCGAAGUCGUUACCCUAACCCUAAGGGGAGGGGGAUGCCGAAGGUAGAGCCAGUGACUGGGGUGAAGUCGUAACAAGGUAGCCGUACCUGAAGGUGUGGCUGGAUCACCUCCUUU